AACCCUGAGCGUGCUUUCGAUACGGGUGACUUGAGGGAAGGUAGGGGAGAAUGAAUUUCUGGUGGAGCGGUGGAAUGCGCAGAUAUCAGGAGGAACACCAGUGGCGAAGGCGGUUCUCUGGGCCUUUCCUGACGCUGAGGAGCGAAAGCGUGGGGAGCGAACAGGCUUAGAUACCCUGGUAGUCCACGCUGUAAACGGUGGGUACUAGGUGUGGGGUCCAUUCCACGGGUUCCGUGCCGUAGCUAACGCUUUAAGUACCCCGCCUGGGGAGUACGGCCGCAAGGCUAAAACUCAAAGGAAUUGACGGGGCCCCGCACAAGCGGCGGAGCAUGCGGAUUAAUUCGAUGCAACGCGUAGAACCUUACCUGGGUUUGACAUGGAUCGGGAGUGCUCAGAGAUGGGUGUGCCUCUUUUGGGGUCGGUUCACAGGUGGUGCAUGCCUGUCGUCAGCUCGUGUCGUGAGAUGUUGGGUUAAGUCCCGCAACGAGCGCAACCCUUGUUCACUGUUGCCAGCACGUUAUGGUGGGGACUCAGUGGAGACCGCCGGGGUCAACUCGGAGGAAGGUGGGGAUGACGUCAAGUCCUCAUGCCCCUUAUGUCCAGGGCUUCACGCAUGCUACAAUGGCUGGUACAGAGAGUGGCGAGCCUGUGAGGGUGAGCGAAUCUCGGAAAGCCGGUCUCAGUUCGGAUUGGGGUCUGCAACUCGACCUCAUGAAGUCGGAGUCGCUAGUAAUCGCAGAUCAGCAACGCUGCGGUGAAUACGUUCCCGGGGCUUGUACACACCGCCCGUCAAGUCAUGAAAGUUGGUAACACCCGAAGCCGGUGGCCUAACCGUUGUGGGGGAGCCGUCGAAGGUGGGACUGGUGAUUAGGACUA
rnacentral:rRNA from 1 species